GUGCUUACCUGGCAGGGGAGAUGCCAUGAUCAUGAAGGUUGUCCCCAGGGCUGAGCUGAUCCUUUGCACUCAGAUGUGCUGACUCUUGCGAUUUCCUCAGAUGUAGGAAACUCAGCUGCGUAAUUUGUUGCGGGACUGCUUUCACGCUCUG
ensembl:snRNA U1 U1 spliceosomal RNA